UACAAGGCGUUUCCUUCCCGGCGCGUCUGGCUGGCGGCCCGCGGGCGGCCGCGGGCUAGGAGCCCAGCCCUCGGGGGCCGCCCGCGCCCGGGAGCCCGAGGCCAAGGGACCCAGCCAAGGAGGGGGCGGCCGGCCGGAGGGUCCGGAACGCGCGGCCUCGCCCCGUCGCCGUCCGGGCCCAGCUGAGGAAAACGCUGGACAGGCCGACUUGGGAGUCCCUUGGGAGGCGCCUUCCUCCACCCCGCUAAGGUCAGAGGCUCCCACUGUCCUCUAUCGUUUUCCUGUUUGUCCCCACCCCUGAACGCAGCACAUCCUUGUUGGAGAUCCUUAAGCGGCCAGAAGCCCAAGACCUGAAGCCCACACUCCAAGCGUGGUGUCACAGCCUGCUGGCCCUCGAUUUACCCUCCACCCCUUGCAUUGGGCAGCUCUGACUAUCCACCUCUGUAAGAGCCUGCAAGCCCCCACAGGUGCUCCCUACAAAGCCUUAAAUUUGGCCAGCCGCGUGGUUACUGUGAUCUGCCAUGAGCAAAGGUCAGAGGGACCAGAUUUCAGCAGAGACCAACAACACAACUAUCAUCAAAGUCCAGACUCUACUGGGAGGAGACAAGCCAGCUCCCAUAUUGCCAUCUGGACCAACCUGUGGCUCCUGAUUUUUCUGCCUCAGCUCCCUCAGAGAAGAUCUCAAAGGUCUAGGAAUUGGAUUUCAGAUAAGACCCGGUUUCAGGCUUCGGCAACCACCAUCUAUGGUACCUCUUGCUUUGUUUUGUACCUAGACUGUAGCUCCCCAAGCCUUCUCUGCCGGGCUCCUGUUUAGGAUUGUGGGGUCUCACAGAGUUGCCCUGACUGUCAUGGAACUUGUGAUCCUCUGCAUCAGCCUCCUGAGUAGCUGGUUAGAUCUUAAGUGGAGCUGUGAUAAGACCUGGUGUCCGACUUCAGAGUAGUUCUUAGGAGGAGGCUGCCUCCGUGCUGGCAUCCAGUCAGAACCUGGUACCUGUGACUGCACAGCAGCCAGAUAUCAGGUGGUUUGCUGAAGAAUGUAACAUAUCCUGUUGACUCAAGCCAGGCAGUACCACAGGUCUUUCUGUCCCCUAUCAGCAUGAGCCUCUCCCUGCCAAGCUUGCCUGUCUUGCGAUUAGUGUUCCCCGGCCUGGCUCAAUGACACAGAUACUUCAGACGGCCAGGAAAGCUGCCAGGGAAUCCUCCUCCUAAGAAGCUUAUGGAGAGAAAGACCUGCUCUCAUCUGCCAGUGGGAGGAUCCUGAGCUCUGGACCAACCUCAAGGCCGAUUCUAUCACCAAGGCACAUAGAACAUGAGCACCUGAUGUUACAACUCCAAAUCUGGAUGGAUGAUCUCCUUUAUUGGUCCUGCCCCUGCUCCCUUCCAGCCUUGGCCCCAACUCCCAAGUCUCAUCCUCCAGGCCCACUGGUUGACUCAUGAAGAAGCAAAUGAAAGUGUCAAGUAACUUGUGAACCAUUUACAAACCCCAAACUACACAUUGUUCUAUAAUGGGUGUUCAUUAAUGAUCCUAAACUGUUAAAGACAAUGGAAUGAUGCUGUUUUUCUUUAUUUCUGAUAUUUCAAAAAUUUCCUUAAUGGAUGUCUUAUUUUAAGCUUCUUGAUACAUUAAUAUAUAUUUCCUAAGGAAAUAAAUAAUAUAUAACCACAGAAGUUUUUAAAUUUAGGAGCUUUAACAUUGAUACUUUUUUCUAUAGUCCACGUCAGGUUUUGUUUUCAUUUUUUGGUACUGGGGAUUGGACCCAGAGACACUUAACCACUGAGCCACAGCCACAGUCAAUUAUUACUAUUUUUUCGUAUUGAGACAAGAUCUUGCUAAGUUGCUGAGGUUCUUGCUAAACUGUUGAGGCUGGCUUUGAACUUGUGAUCCUCCUGUCUCAUUGGGAUUAUAUGUGUGUGUCAUCAUGCCUGACUACAUUUCAAUUUUGUUAAUUGUCCUAUUAAUGACAUAAUUUUAAGAGCAGGGACAAGUCAGGCAGGGUAGUGCCUGCUGGUACUCCGUGCUGGCCGGGGUGCUGAAGACAGAACUGCUUGAGCCCACGAACUUGAGCCCAGCCCAGGCAAUGUAGCAGUGUAGCAAGACCUCAUCUGUUAAAAAGGUAAACAAACAAACAAACAAACAAAAAAAUGCAGGUGGUAGUGAUACAGUGGUACAUGCUUUUAACCCUCAGUGGUUUAGGAGACUGAGGCAGCAUGAUCAAAAAAUUGAGGGCCAGCCUGGACAACUUAGUGAGAGACUAUCUCAUAAAAAGGGCUGGGAUGUAAUCUAGUGGCAGAGCACACCUGGGUUCAAUCCCCAGUAUUGCAAAAAUAAUAAUAAAAUGAAAGGGGUUGGGAUUGUAGAUCAGGGGUAGAAUGCAUGCUUAGGAUGUAUAUGGCUCUGGGUUUGGUCCCCAGCAGCACCAGAAAUUAAUGUUUUACCCUCCCCACCCUUUUGUGGUAUUGAGGAUUGAACCCAGGAAUGCUUUAUCACAGCCACAUCCCCAGCUCUUUUUAUUUUGAGACAGGGUCUUCUAAGUUGCUUAUGGUCUCGCUAAAUUGCUGAGACUAGUCUCAAACUUGCAAUCCUGCCUCAGCUUCCCAAGUUGCUGGGUAACAGGCAUGUGCCACCACACCCAGCUUAAAACCCCUUUUUAACAACAUUUUUUAAAAAAGAAAAUUACAUAACUUUUCAACAAAUGUCAUUGACUCUAUCUAUCUAUCUAUCUAUCUAUGUAUCUGUCUAUCUAUUUUGGUGCUGGGAUUGAACCCAGGGCCUUAUGCAUGCAAGGCAAACACUCUACCAGUGAGUUAUAUCCCCAGCCCCUGACUGUAGUUAUUUUACAGAUGGAUAAUUCAAAACCCAGAUUGCAGAGUGCUAAGAAAACUGAGCAGACUCAGUGAGACUCCUAAGUGCUCCUCUCUGUUCCCUCAUCCUUGCUUUCUUUAGUAGACUGCCCUCUCCAUUUCUCCAAAAUUUAAGGGCAAAGCAAGCUGUCCCAGGCACCUUUUAGAACUUGUUAGAAAUCUGCUCCCCUUCAGAUGAAGCAAAAUUCUUCCACUGCCAUUGUGGUCUAGCACCAUCUUGUGGCCACCAGCACAAACUCACUCUCACCACUUUAAGUCUACAAGUUGGAAACAAAGCAUUCACCAAGGCUCUCAUCUGAACCCUAGCUAAGUUGCCAAGCACUGUACCAUGGACUUCAUAUGUCUUUGUCUAUUUAAUGCUUAUCAAGGCAGCAUUACUACAGGUAGAAAAAUUGAAUCUUUGGCAAAUUAUCCCAUGUCCCUAUCUCCUGGAGAGUCAGGAUGUCUAUUCCUAUGAGAUGUGAAACUCCUGCUCCACACCAUGCUAGCCUGAUAAGUUUCACAGCUGGAAAAGCACUUCAGAUUUAGGACCUGCCUUAUAGUGAGAGGGAAUCUGGACAGGAAGGGACUUGUUUGAAGUCAGAAGUCUAGCUAAUGGCAGAGCCAGAAAAAGGGCUUUAUUCUGGCCUCUUAACUGAACCUGCCACGCAAGUUCAGGGAAGUUUUGUUGAAGAUGGCUCAACCUGAAACUGUUUGCACCUAUACCCUCUGUUCAGUCACAUCCUCAGCAACUUAAGGCACCAAAACACCUACAAAAUGAGCACAUAACUGGCCCUAUUUCACUGGCUCUAGUAUCAGUUCCACACCCUUUGGCUGGAGUCAGUUCCUAGGUCUCUUUAGGCACAGUCCCAUCAGGAUGGGGCUUGGAAGCUAGAAGUCUCAGAUGGCACGCAUUCAACUUGGCAACAAGGGAGAAGCUGGCAUGAGGCUUUAAUUCCACCUUGGCAUUCAGCCCUGAAUCUACUUGGCCUGUCUAGGAGUGCAUGGUAUGGGAAUUAGAGCCAGGGAACAAAAGAUGGCAAGAGCUGCAGGCCAAGACAGGUGAGCACUGCAGCCCACACAUCCGGCUGGCACUACUGUGCUGCCUUCCAACAAUUUGGCUUCAAGAACAUCACCAAAAGAUGAAUUAGAAGGAAAACUACUUGCACAGGCAUGCCGGCCUUCUUCUCAGAGUGACUAGUUUCAUCAGGGGAUUUUAUGGAUCAAAUGAGAAAAUGGGUGGCAGUAUGCUGAAAGAGAAGUGACAGAAAAAAUGUUAAACUGACCAGUAAUGGCAGUUUAUCUCAAAUCUGGAGAAAGUAAACCAUGCACCAUCUUGAUUCCUCAACUAGGCAGGCAUCCUAAACUACCAAACAGGAGAGGCUCCAAGCAGCUUGAACUCUGGGGAAGGAAAAGAAAUCCUCUUCUAACCUGGUCUAGAAGCUUUGCUCUACUGGGCCAGCCCAACUUGCUCUUGGAUGGUCUUGUUAUUCUCCUACCUACAGCAAGGUAUUCAAGAUAGGGGAAAGCAGUAGGAAAAGGCUCAGGCCUAGUUUCUGUUUUUAUCAGAGAUGUUCUAUUAUAGGACUCAAAGGCAAGCAGAAUCAACUUUGUAAUUGGGAUAAAUUUUUUUACUUUAUCACUAUUAAAACCUCUUGGUCCAUUUUUCCCCCCCCCCCCCCCUUUUUUUGCAGUGCUGAGAUGAUGGGCAUUUAAAGCUUCAUGUUUGCUAGUCAAGUGCCCUAUCACUGAGCCAUACUCCCUACUUUUAUCACCUGUUAAUAGUUUGGCCUUAUCAACUUGAAUCUCUUUCCUCCAAUAUAACCUUGGGAUCAUGACCCCCAGACAUUCCUUUGAAUAUACCUUUGCACAGGCCAAUGUAGCGAAGAAACUAAAGUCUAAGGCUGCAAAUUUAUCAGCUAUGACUAAUCUGACAUAAACUUCAAAGACCUCUCAUACUGUCUCUAAAGUUCAGACUUUUCUAGGAAACAGUCCUAAAAAAUCUCAAGCACACAAAGUAUAUUCUUAAAUAUGGUUUAAUACUCUUCUCCAUUUCUGUACAUCACAACACCAAGAUUUCGCUGCUUAGAUCUCUCUGCAGAGGCUAUAGAGAAUGCAAAGGCUACGUUUUUCACCCCCUCUUAUUUAUGUGUUUGCAUGUGUAAGUGUAAUACAUACCAGUAUAUAUUGAUACACACAUCAAUAUAUAAUGCAAUAUAUAUCACCGAAGAGAACACAUUGAUUAAAGAAAUACAAAAAUUUGGCAUCAUUUCCAAACUUAAAUAGUAAAAAUAAAAACUACAAAAGGAGCUGCAUACCCUAAAUGUAUCAUGUGAAACAACAAGCAUAUUCAAAAAUGUAAAUUUACAUCCAAUUUCUCUGGUCUUAUCAUAUCACAUUAGACCCAUUUACAAUGGCAAAACCCUAAGGUACUGCUGUGAAGAGAGCAUGUUUACUUGCUCUUGGGUGUUCUGCAAACAAACAGCAGAGCCCAAAGCAAAAGCCUGUUCCGGUGAAGCCUCCCACAUCGGUGAACACCAAAGAAUUGACUCUUCUCACUGGGGGUUGAGACAUCAGGUUAUACAUUGACAGACAGUUAUUUGGACCUCAGAGCACAGUGUGAGUACCAGAAGCUUUACAUUUAAGACAUACUCCCUUCAUUCAAGUGAAACAGGAUUAUUGGAACGAUAGGCAGGUCUGUAACCUGGGAACAAAGAGUUGGUUCAGACCAAUAAAGCUACGAGUGACUGAAUCAAGUCAGUGAAGAACAGCAGUCAGGCACUAAGUGUUGAAAGUACCCAAUUUGAAAACCAAAUGCACCCCACUACCCUAGUCACUGGGGUGGUGGUGAUACCAAUUGACUUAAAAAACCUUUGGUCCUUCAAAGUCCAUUCGGUAUACACUUUCUCAUUGCUAGCACUGGGCACAUCCUAUACACUUUGUUCACUGUCACCACAUCGAGCACGCCAUGACUUGCAUGGGCUGGGUUCUAGUCCACCUUAUAGCCUAGCUAUGAAGCAUAAGCUUCAGGUUUUCAGGCCAACUUUUUAGAUCCAACAUGGUUUAGUCCAUCGUGCCAGAAGCUGUGUCCCAUCCCUUCCCACCCCUUCCCUUCCCACCCUCCUCCCAUAAUUUCUCAUCUGAGAGGUGCUUUUAAGUCCCACAUUUGAAACAGAUGCUCAAACCCCACCAAGGGUUUAUAAUUCCAUGCAAUCAUACAUGUCUUGUCUGUCGUCCCGGUGAAAAAUCUUGCAUUUCAUUAAAAAAAAAAAAAAAAAAAAUCAAAA